rnacentral:rRNA from 1 species
UGAGUCCGAGGAGCUACGGCUCUUAAGUGAUACGAGUCAGACUUCCCAGAAAAGCCCGAACCACGUUAAUCUCUAAUUACCUGUACCCGAAACCGACACAGGUGGGUAGGUAGAGUAUACUAAGGGGCGCGAGAUAACUCUCUCUAAGGAACUCGGCAAAAUGACUCCGUAACUUCGGGAGAAGGAGUGCCUUAUUUAUAAGGUUGCAAUAACAAGAUCCAAGCAACUGUUUAUCAAAAACACAGGUCUCCGCUAAGUCGUAAGACGAUGUAUGGGGGCUGACGCCUGCCCAGUGCCAGAAGGUUAAAGAAGUUGGUUAGUGUAUGCGAAGCUGAUGACUGAAGCCCUGGUGAACGGCGGCCGUAACAAUAACGGUCCUAAGGUAGCGAAAUUCCUUGUCGGGUAAGUUCCGACCCGCACGAAAGGCGUAAUGAUUUGGAUACUGUCUCGGAGAGAGGCUCGGUGAAAUAGACUUGUCUGUGAAGAUGCGGACUACCUGCACCAGGACAGAAAGACCCUAUGAAGCUUUACUGUAACUUGAAAUUGGAAUUGGACUUUGCUUGCGCAGUAUAGGUGGGAAGCGUUGAAGAUAUUCUUGCGGGAGUAUUGGAGCUAUCAGUGAGAUACCACUCUUGUAAUGUUAGAUUUCUAACUUUGAACCAUAAUCUGGUCAAAGAACAGUUUCAGGUGGGCAGUUUGACUGGGGCGGUCGCCUCCCAAAUGGUAACGGAGGCGUACAAAGGUUUCCUCUGAACGGAUAGAAAUCGUAUCUAGAGUGUAAAGGCAUAAGGAAGCUUGACUGUGAGACCUACAAGUCGAGCAGGGACGAAAGUCGGUCUUAGUGAUCUGACGGUACUGAGUGGAAAGGCCGUCACUCAACGGAUAAAAGUUACUCUAAGGAUAACAGGCUGAUCUCCCCCAAGAGUUCACAUCGACGGGGAGGUUUGGCACCUCGAUGUCGGCUCAUCGCAUCCUGGGGCGGUAGUACGUCCCAAGGGUUGGGCUGUUCGCCCAUGAAAGCGGUACGCGAGCUGGGUUCAGAACGUCGUGAGACAGUUCGGUCCAUAUCCGGUGUAGGCGUUAGAAUAUUGAGAGGAGCCUUCUUUAGUACGAGAGGACCGAGAAGGACACACCGCUGGUGUACCAGUUAUCGUGCCAACGGUAAACGCUGGGUAGCUAUGUGUGGAGUGGAUAACCGCUGAGAGCAUCUAAGUGGGAAGCCCACCUCAAGAUGAG